UUUCNNUGGGGGAACCCUGAUGGAGCGACGCCGCGUGGGGGAUGAAUGGCUUCGGCCCGUAAACCCCUGUCAUUCGGGAUCAAUGCCUAUUAUUUAAAAGAUGAUAGGUUGAUAGUACCGGAAGAGGAAGGGACGGCUAACUCUGUGCCAGCAGCCGCGGUAAUACAGAGGUCCCAAGCGUUGUUCGGAUUUACUGGGCGUAAAGGGUGCGUAGGUGGUUGGGUAAGUCUGAUGUGAAAUCUCGGAGCUUAACUCCGAAACGGCAUUGGAUACUAUUCAGCUUGAGAGUUGGAGGGGGGACUGGAAUGCUCGGUGUAGCAGUGAAAUGCGUAGAUAUCGAGCGGAACACCAGUGGCGAAGGCGAGUCCCUGGACAACUUCUGACACUGAGGCACGAAAGCCAGGGGAGCAAACGGGAUUAGAUACCCCGGUAGUCCUGGCCCUAAACGGUGCACGUUUGCUGUAAAAGGAAUCGACCCCUUUUGUGGCGUAGCCAACGCGUUAAACGUGCCGCCUGGGAAUUACGGUCGCAAGAUUAAAACUCAAAAAAAUUGACGGA
rnacentral:rRNA from 1 species